AUGGCCAAGGGAAAAGAUGUUAGAAUUAGAGUUAUUUUGGAAUGCAUCAGUUGUGUUUGAAAAGGUGCCAAUGAGGAAUCGACGGGGAAAAGCCGGUGGUUUCUUGGUCACGACCAGCUAAAACGAAAGUUCCAUUAA
rnacentral:rRNA from 1 species